rnacentral:lncRNA from 1 species
CCCAAAUCUGACCCCAAGAACCCGAAAUCUGCCCCAAUUGGAUCCCAAAAAACCCCAUUCUUUGGCCCCCAAACCCCCAAUCUGACCCAAAAAUCCCAAAUUUGCCCAAAUUGGACCCAAAAAGCCCCUUAAUCCCNGGUAGAUUUGGGGGUUUUGGGGGUCAAAAUGGGGUUUUUUGGGUCAGAUUUGGGGUUUUUGGGGUGAAAAUUGAUGUUUUUGGCAGCGGGUUUGGGGCGGAUUUAGGGGUUUUUGGGUCCAAUUUGGGGCAGAUUUGGGGCUUUUUUGGGGUAAUUUGGGGCUUUUUUGGGGCUUUUUGGGUCAGAUUUGGGGGUUUUUGGCUCCAAUUUGGGGUAGAUUUGGGGGUUUUGGGGGGUCAAAAUGGGGUUUUUUGGGUCAGAUUUGGGGUUUUUGGGGUGAAAAUUGAUGUUUUUGGCAGCGGAUUUGGGGCGGAUUGAGGCGUUUUAGGGCAAAUUUGGGGCAGAUUUGGGGUUUUGGUGUCAGAUUUGGGGCUUUUUGGGUCAGAUUUGGGGUUUUUUGGGUCCAACUUGGGUCAGAUUUGGGGUUUUUGGGGUGAAAAUUGAUGUUUUUGGCAGCGGAUUUGGGGCAGAUUUAGGGGUUUUUGGGUCCAAUUUGGGGCAGAUUUAGGGCUUUUUUGGGGUAAUUUGGGGCUUUUUUGGGGCUUUUGGGGUCAGAUUUGGGGGUUUUUGGGGUGAAAAUUGAUGUUUUUGGCAGCGGAUUUGGGGGGAUUUAGGGGUUUUUUUGGUCCAAUUUGGGUCAGAUUUGGGGUUUUUGGCGUGAAAAUUGAUGUAUUUGACGGCGGAUUUGGGGCAGAUUUAGGGGUUUUGGGGCCAAUUUGGGGCAGAUUUGGGGGUUUUAGGGACAGAUUUGGGGUUAUUGGGGUCUUUUGGGGUCCAAAUUGGGUCAGAUUUGGGAUUUUUGGGUCCAGUUUUGGGGCAGAUAUGGGUUUUUUUGGGGAAAAGUUGGGGUAUAUUUUGGGUUUUUUGGGUCAGAUUUUGGGGUUUUGGGACAAUAUGGGGCAGAUUUGGGGGUUUUCGGGUCUAGAUUUGGGAUUUUUGGGUCAAAUUUGGGCAGAUUUGGGGUUUUGGGGGAAAAUUUGGGGUGUAUUUGGGGUUUUUGGGGUCCAAUUUGGGGCAAAUUUGGGUUUUUUUGGGUCUUUUUGGGCACAAAUUUAGGUCAGAGUUUGGGGGUUUUGG